CCAGACUCCUACGGGAGGCAGCAGUGAGGAAUAUUGGUCAAUGGCCGAGAGGCUGAACCAGCCAAGUCGCGUGAGGGAAGAAUGUCCUAUGGAUUGUAAACCUCUUUUGUCAGGGAGCAAAGUCACCCACGUGUGGGUGUUGGAGAGUACCUGAAGAAAAAGCAUCGGCUAACUCCGUGCCAGCAGCCGCGGUAAUACGGAGGAUGCGAGCGUUAUCCGGAUUUAUUGGGUUUAAAGGGAGCGUAGGCCGGUCUUUAAGCGUACCGUGAAAUUUUGUGGCUCAACCAUGAGAGUGCGGCGCGAACUGGAGACCUUGAGUGCGCGGAAGGCAGGCGGAAUUCGUGGUGUAGCGGUGAAAUGCUUAGAUAUCACGCAGAACUCCGAUUGCGAAGGCAGCAUACCGGCGCGCAACUGACGCUCAUGCACGAAAGCGUGGGUAUCGAACAGGAUUAGAUACCCGUGUAG
rnacentral:rRNA from 1 species